rnacentral:rRNA from 1 species
CAAGGUCGGUAUACAGGUGGUGCAUGGUUGUCGUCAGCUCGUGUCGUGAGAUGUUGGGUUAAGUCCCGCAACGAACGCAACCCUCUUUUUAUGUUGCCAGCACGUGAUGGUGGGGACUCAUAGGAGACUGCCGGGGUCAACUCGGAGGAAGGUGGGGAUGACGUCAAAUCAUCAUGCCCCGUACGUCUUGGGCUUCACGCAUGCUACAAUGGCCGGUACAGAGGGCUGCGAAACCGUGAGGUGGAGCGAAUCCCUUAAAGCUGGUCUCAGUUCGGAUUGGGGUCUGCAACUCGACCCCAUGAAGUCGGAGUCGCUAGUAACUGCAGAUCAGCAACGCUGCGGUGAAUACGUUCCCGGGCCUUGGACACACCGCCCGUCAAGUCACGAAAGUCGGUAACACCCGAAGCCGUUCCUACCCGGGCGAGCCGUCGAAGG